ACAGAAACUAUAUAUCAUUUCCU
rnacentral:snRNA from 1 species